CCAGAGAAGAAGUCAUGACGGUAUUUGGGGAAUAAGCAUCGGCUAACUCUGUGCCAGCAGCCGCGGUAAGACAGAGGAUGCAAGCGUUAUCCGGAAUGAUUGGGCGUAAAGCGUCUGUAGGUGGCUUUUUAAGUCUGCUGUCAAAUCCCAGGGCUUAACCCUGGCCAGGCGGUGGAGACUACGGAGCUUGAGUACGGUAGGGGCAGAGGGAAUUUCCGGUGGAGCGGUGAAAUGCGUAGAGAUCGG
rnacentral:rRNA from 1 species